rnacentral:rRNA from 2 species
UUAAGCGACUAAGCGUACACGGUGGAUGCCCUGGCAGUCAGAGGCGAUGAAGGACGUGCUAAUCUGCGAUAAGCGUCGGUAAGGUGAUAUGAACCGUUAUAACCGGCGAUUUCCGAAUGGGGAAACCCAGUGUGAUUCGUCACACUAUCAUUAACUGAAUCCAUAGGUUAAUGAGGCGAACCGGGGGAACUGAAACAUCUAAGUACCCCGAGGAAAAGAAAUCAACCGAGAUUCCCCCAGUAGCGGCGAGCGAACGGGGAGCAGCCCAGAGCCUGAAUCAGUGUGUGUGUUAGUGGAAGCGUCUGGAAAGGCGCGCGAUACAGGGUGACAGCCCCGUACACAAAAAUGCACAUGCUGUGAGCUCGAUGAGUAGGGCGGGACACGUGGUAUCCUGUCUGAAUAUGGGGGGACCAUCCUCCAAGGCUAAAUACUCCUGACUGACCGAUAGUGAACCAGUACCGUGAGGGAAAGGCGAAAAGAACCCCGGCGAGGGGAGUGAAAAAGAACCUGAAACCGUGUACGUACAAGCAGUGGGAGCCUCUUUAUGGGGUGACUGCGUACCUUUUGUAUAAUGGGUCAGCGACUUAUAUUCUGUAGCAAGGUUAACCGAAUAGGGGAGCCGAAGGGAAACCGAGUCUUAACUGGGCGUUAAGUUGCAGGGUAUAGACCCGAAACCCGGUGAUCUAGCCAUGGGCAGGUUGAAGGUUGGGUAACACUAACUGGAGGACCGAACCGACUAAUGUUGAAAAAUUAGCGGAUGACUUGUGGCUGGGGGUGAAAGGCCAAUCAAACCGGGAGAUAGCUGGUUCUCCCCGAAAGCUAUUUAGGUAGCGCCUCGUGAAUUCAUCUCCGGGGGUAGAGCACUGUUUCGGCAAGGGGGUCAUCCCGACUUACCAACCCGAUGCAAACUGCGAAUACCGGAGAAUGUUAUCACGGGAGACACACGGCGGGUGCUAACGUCCGUCGUGAAGAGGGAAACAACCCAGACCGCCAGCUAAGGUCCCAAAGUCAUGGUUAAGUGGGAAACGAUGUGGGAAGGCCCAGACAGCCAGGAUGUUGGCUUAGAAGCAGCCAUCAUUUAAAGAAAGCGUAAUAGCUCACUGGUCGAGUCGGCCUGCGCGGAAGAUGUAACGGGGCUAAACCAUGCACCGAAGCUGCGGCAGCGACACUAUGUGUUGUUGGGUAGGGGAGCGUUCUGUAAGCCUGCGAAGGUGUACUGUGAGGUAUGCUGGAGGUAUCAGAAGUGCGAAUGCUGACAUAAGUAACGAUAAAGCGGGUGAAAAGCCCGCUCGCCGGAAGACCAAGGGUUCCUGUCCAACGUUAAUCGGGGCAGGGUGAGUCGACCCCUAAGGCGAGGCCGAAAGGCGUAGUCGAUGGGAAACAGGUUAAUAUUCCUGUACUUGGUGUUACUGCGAAGGGGGGACGGAGAAGGCUAUGUUGGCCGGGCGACGGUUGUCCCGGUUUAAGCGUGUAGGCUGGUUUUCCAGGCAAAUCCGGAAAAUCAAGGCUGAGGCGUGAUGACGAGGCACUACGGUGCUGAAGCAACAAAUGCCCUGCUUCCAGGAAAAGCCUCUAAGCAUCAGGUAACAUCAAAUCGUACCCCAAACCGACACAGGUGGUCAGGUAGAGAAUACCAAGGCGCUUGAGAGAACUCGGGUGAAGGAACUAGGCAAAAUGGUGCCGUAACUUCGGGAGAAGGCACGCUGAUAUGUAGGUGAAGCGACUUGCUCGUGGAGCUGAAAUCAGUCGAAGAUACCAGCUGGCUGCAACUGUUUAUUAAAAACACAGCACUGUGCAAACACGAAAGUGGACGUAUACGGUGUGACGCCUGCCCGGUGCCGGAAGGUUAAUUGAUGGGGUUAGCGGUAACGCGAAGCUCUUGAUCGAAGCCCCGGUAAACGGCGGCCGUAACUAUAACGGUCCUAAGGUAGCGAAAUUCCUUGUCGGGUAAGUUCCGACCUGCACGAAUGGCGUAAUGAUGGCCAGGCUGUCUCCACCCGAGACUCAGUGAAAUUGAACUCGCUGUGAAGAUGCAGUGUACCCGCGGCAAGACGGAAAGACCCCGUGAACCUUUACUAUAGCUUGACACUGAACAUUGAGCCUUGAUGUGUAGGAUAGGUGGGAGGCUUUGAAGUGUGGACGCCAGUCUGCAUGGAGCCGACCUUGAAAUACCACCCUUUAAUGUUUGAUGUUCUAACGUUGGCCCGUUAUCCGGGUUGCGGACAGUGUCUGGUGGGUAGUUUGACUGGGGCGGUCUCCUCCUAAAGAGUAACGGAGGAGCACGAAGGUUGGCUAAUCCUGGUCGGAC